rnacentral:lncRNA from 1 species
GAGAACCCGCCCCCUUUGCCGGAACUAUCGCAUCUUCCAACGGAAAUCUAGUUGCCAAAAGAGGUGGAAAUGCGUCAUUGGCUAGAGAUCCCAUCAGAUCUGGAGCUGCUGGCCUACGCCACAGCCACAGCAACACCAGAUCCAAGCCGUGUCUGCGACCUACACCACAGCUCACAGCAACGCUGGAUCCUUAACCCACUGAGCGAGGCCAGGGACCGACCCCUCGUCCUCAGGGAAUGCUAGUCAGGUUCAUUACCGCUGAGCCAUGACGGGACCUCCUGCAUUUAGAUUUUUAGCGAACAUCUACUUCGCGCCUCACCUCAAGUCAGUUGCUGGGGAGAAGCAGAAAGGAGGCGUGGGCUGGGCUAGUGCGCAGGUGGACUCAGCCCACCCCUAGUGAGGCUCCCUGCCUGGACUUCUGGGAGAGGCUUGAAUGAGCCUUGAAGGAGAUACCUGACUAUCAAAGGAGGGGGCGAAACAGCAUCCCGAGCCAAGGAAAUGACAUUGUGAAAGCCUCCAAGAUGUUUGGGGUUCAUGACUCCUCGGCACAGUUAAGGCCUGGGGUCCACGGGACAGGACAGUCGGGGGAGAGAUGAAGUGAUGAGGCCGAAACCAGAGCAGCGGCUGACUGCACCUCAGGAGUCCGCAGGGGAAGGACUUUGUGGACAUGGCGAUUAUCUCAACUGUUUGUGGGGCAAUCACAGGAGCAUCUGGGGAGAAAACUGGCCCCAGAAGGAAAAGGGCUGCAGGCGGGAAGACCAGAAAGGAUGCUGUUCAGAUGGCCCAGGUGAAAGCCAGUGAGGGCCUAGACUGAGCAGACGUGGUGGGAUGGAGGGGCCCAGGAGACAGCUCUGGAUUUGGCAGUUGCGGGGGAGGAGCUAGAUCAUUGUGCUUUUACAAGAGUGGGUUAUUUAUCCAAAAACAAACAAAACAAAACAACAGCAACAACAGGGCAUUGCCGCAAGCUGUGGUGUAGGCUGCAGAUGUGGCUCGGAUCCAGCGUGGCUGUGGCUGUGCCGUAAGCCAGCAGCUGCAGCUCCGAUUCGAGCCCAGGAACUUCCAUAUGCCUCAGGUGGGGCCCUAGAAAAGGACAGAAAAAAAAAAA